AGCUGAUCAGGCCUCACAGCUCAGGGAAACCUCCCAGCUGAGGGAAACAUCACCAAGGAAGGCCCUUUCAAAGGGUCUCAACCCUGCCGCCACCGCCUUUUUCUAAAGAAGACUUCCUCCUUACUGUUGAGAUCCCCUUGAUGGUGGAGGUCCUGAGAAUAUACAUUCCUAAACUGAGAUGCUCUGAAGAUCACCAACACUUGACAACCCUGGCUGAUUUUGCCAAGACAUUUUUGGUGUUGGAAUUCAUGUUGAAUCGCUGCCCUUUCAACUGAAGCUGCAGUCAAAGAAGCCAAAGCACUGUCUGUCCCUAGGGAGAACUGACACUCAACCCAGGAGAGCGGAGAGGAGGCCAUCGCCAUUCCAGUGCGUCCCCAGAGGAGGACAGUGAAGCAGAGGCUGUGACCUGCAAGAUAGAUGAGACCCCGUGUAAACAAACACGCCCCCAGUCUCCCAGGAGUGCUGGGCACCGGGCAAGCUUGGGUGGGUGCCAGGGCCCAGGGGACUCUGCCUGGCUGCAGUUGCUACCUGUCUGUAAAGAUCAGCUCUUAAGACGAUGUGACUUGAGCACUUCCAAGAAAUAAAGUCUGCACAGUUUAACAGCUGCCAAGUUAACCAACCUUUAGGAAGGAAGCCUGUCUAAGACUGCUACUUCUAUUAAAUAUUUCAUUCACCCAAGAAGAGUGAGUCUGAGAAACUCGAUCCAGAUGAGGUCAGAGGCACUGUGGCCUGAAGGACAGACAAGAUUCCAUGAUGUGCGUCUGGGCUGGGAAGACCACCAGCAUCCCGGAGCUGCCUUCCUAAGUUUUCCAUUAGUUGGUGAAAAAGCCGAAUUUUGGAAGCAUUUUUAUUCUCGGGGUGGGGGUGGGCUCCUUCCAUGGCCUGAGGAGCUGGGGUCAUCCAGUUCCCCGUCCAGAGGAGAGCCCCAGGCUGUCAGUAGGUCGCCUGCAUCUAAGGUGGCGCUGGGGCUCAGCAGGAGCCCACAUGGCAGUGUCUGGCUGAGAGGAUCAAAGAGACCUGGGAGGGGGUGAGCGGAGAGAACAGACAUCCUUGGGCCAUGAAACCAGGACUCGGCAUUGCCUCCCAACCCCGGUCAGUGGCCACACCAGGGCUUACUGGGGAGGGAAAUGAGGGGCGCGUGACUUUCAAAUCAAAGUCAAAUAUCAAACCUUUGCUAGAUUCCAGCAAUAGAACAGUCACUCCUUCCCUCUGUGGCCAACUUCUCACCCUUUUUUAAAGAUCUGUUUUUCUUUCUUUUUAGAUGUUUUAUUUAUUAUUGGAUAGAGACAGAAAAAUUGAGAGGGGAGAAGGAGGUGGAGAGAGAGAGAGAGAGAGAGAGAGAUGCCUGCUACCCUGCUUCACCACUCCAGAAUUUUUCCCCCUGCAGGAGGGGGCCAGGGGCUUGAACCGGGGUCCUUGCUCACUAUAACGUGGGUGUGCUUAACCAGGUGUGCCUGGCCCCCAAGUGACUUCUGUGCACUGAUGUGGCAUCCCUGGGUGCACCAAGCUGACAG